rnacentral:tRNA from 1 species
UCCCAAAUGGUCUAGUGGCUAGGAUACCGCCCUCUCACGGCGGUGGCCGGGGUUCGAUUCCCCGUUUGGGAA